rnacentral:rRNA from 1 species
UUAAGCGACUAAGCGUACACGGUGGAUGCCCUGGCAGUCAGAGGCGAUGAAGGACGUGCUAAUCUGCGAUAAGCGUCGGUGAGGUGAUAUGAACCGUUAUAACCGGCGAUUUCCGAAUGGGGAAACCCAGUGUGUUUCGACACACUAUCAUUAACUGAAUCCAUAGGUUAAUGAGGCGAACCGGGGGAACUGAAACAUCUAAGUACCCCGAGGAAAAGAAAUCAACCGAGAUUCCCCCAGUAGCGGCGAGCGAACGGGGAGGAGCCCAGAGCCUGAAUCAGUGUGUGUGUUAGUGGAAGCGUCUGGAAAGGCGUGCGAUACAGGGUGACAGCCCCGUACACAAAAAUGCACAUAUUGUGAGCUCGAUGAGUAGGGCGGGACACGUGGUAUCCUGUCUGAAUAUGGGGGGACCAUCCUCCAAGGCUAAAUACUCCUGACUGACCGAUAGUGAACCAGUACCGUGAGGGAAAGGCGAAAAGAACCCCGGCGAGGGGAGUGAAAAAGAACCUGAAACCGUGUACGUACAAGCAGUGGGAGCCUCUUAAUGGGGUGACUGCGUACCUUUUGUAUAAUGGGUCAGCGACUUAUAUUCUGUAGCAAGGUUAACCGAAUAGGGGAGCCGAAGGGAAACCGAGUCUUAACUGGGCGUUAAGUUGCAGGGUAUAGACCCGAAACCCGGUGAUCUAGCCAUGGGCAGGUUGAAGGUUGGGUAACACUAACUGGAGGACCGAACCGACUAAUGUUGAAAAAUUAGCGGAUGACUUGUGGCUGGGGGUGAAAGGCCAAUCAAACCGGGAGAUAGCUGGUUCUCCCCGAAAGCUAUUUAGGUAGCGCCUCGUGAAUUCAUCUCCGGGGGUAGAGCACUGUUUCGGCAAGGGGGUCAUCCCGACUUACCAACCCGAUGCAAACUGCGAAUACCGGAGAAUGUUAUCACGGGAGACACACGGCGGGUGCUAACGUCCGUCGUGAAGAGGGAAACAACCCAGACCGCCAGCUAAGGUCCCAAAGUCAUGGUUAAGUGGGAAACGAUGUGGGAAGGCCCAGACAGCCAGGAUGUUGGCUUAGAAGCAGCCAUCAUUUAAAGAAAGCGUAAUAGCUCACUGGUCGAGUCGGCCUGCGCGGAAGAUGUAACGGGGCUAAACCAUGCACCGAAGCUGCGGCAGCGACACUAUGUGUUGUUGGGUAGGGGAGCGUUCUGUAAGCCUGUGAAGGUGGCCUGUGAGGGUUGCUGGAGGUAUCAGAAGUGCGAAUGCUGACAUAAGUAACGAUAAAGCGGGUGAAAAGCCCGCUCGCCGGAAGACCAAGGGUUCCUGUCCAACGUUAAUCGGGGCAGGGUGAGUCGACCCCUAAGGCGAGGCCGAAAGGCGUAGUCGAUGGGAAACAGGUUAAUAUUCCUGUACUUGGUGUUACUGCGAAGGGGGGACGGAGAAGGCUAUGUUGGCCGGGCGACGGUUGUCCCGGUUUAAGCGUGUAGGCUGGUUUUCCAGGCAAAUCCGGAAAACCAAGGCUGAGGCGUGAUGACGAGGCACUACGGUGCUGAAGCGACAAAUGCCCUGCUUCCAGGAAAAGCCUCUAAGCAUCAGGUAACAUCAAAUCGUACCCAAAACCGACACAGGUGGUCAGGUAGAGAAUACCAAGGCGCUUGAGAGAACUCGGGUGAAGGAACUAGGCAAAAUGGUGCCGUAACUUCGGGAGAAGGCACGCUGAUAUGUAGGUGAAGCGACUUGCUCGUGGAGCUGAAAUCAGUCGAAGAUACCAGCUGGCUGCAACUGUUUAUUAAAAACACAGCACUGUGCAAACACGAAAGUGGACGUAUACGGUGUGACGCCUGCCCGGUGCCGGAAGGUUAAUUGAUGGGGUUAGCGGUAACGCGAAGCUCUUGAUCGAAGCCCCGGUAAACGGCGGCCGUAACUAUAACGGUCCUAAGGUAGCGAAAUUCCUUGUCGGGUAAGUUCCGACCUGCACGAAUGGCGUAAUGAUGGCCAGGCUGUCUCCACCCGAGACUCAGUGAAAUUGAACUCGCUGUGAAGAUGCAGUGUACCCGCGGCAAGACGGAAAGACCCCGUGAACCUUUACUAUAGCUUGACACUGAACAUUGAGCCUUGAUGUGUAGGAUAGGUGGGAGGCUUUGAAGUGUGGACGCCAGUCUGCAUGGAGCCGACCUUGAAAUACCACCCUUUAAUGUUUGAUGUUCUAACGUUGGCCCGUAAUCCGGGUUGCGGACAGUGUCUGGUGGGUAGUUUGACUGGGGCGGUCUCCUCCUAAAGAGUAACGGAGG